AUAUACCGUCAUAAACACCAAACAAAUAGAAAUGACAUCAGAAAGCAAAGCAAUGAUCAGGUGAAUGGUGCAGAAGUAUUGUCCCUUAAUCAGCAUGACUCUCUACUGAUUGACACUACUAAUGGGACAAACCCUAAGCAGACUGCGACUGAGACACUAAUGUAACAUUAUUCAUUAUUUAAUCAUUACUCAACAUUUAUUUGACAAUAUAAAGUCUUUCUUGUUGUUUCAAUAGAAAAACGUUAACAUAAUUUGGAAUUAUUUAAUUUAAUAUUAGAAAUUUCACUGUAGCUUUUGAAAAAAAAAAAAAAAAAAAAGCUUUUGAGGUUUUCCAGUAAAUAUGAUAAAUGUAAUGCCUCAAAAUAUAUAGCUUCUGGAAAUAAUCAUGAUUAUCAGCUUAACCUUUAUGCAGCAGGACUAACUGUAACUAUGACUUGCACUGACUAAAAUGGCCAGACUUUUAGUCAACCAAACUUAACUGGAAAAACAGGAUAAGUUUGACUAAAUAGAAAACACUAAAUAUUACAUUUGACAAAUCUUAUACCACAUUCAAAAAUAGUUGACAAAAUGAACACUAAAUUGCAGCAGGCUUUACAUUGCAAGACCUGCCAGAUGUUUUCUCUGUUUGUUUGUUUGUUUGUUUGUUUGUGGUGUCAUAGCUUUGUGGUUCAAAUCCAGCAAGGGUUGAUCCAUGAAAUCUCACCAUUGUGUCCUUGAUCAAACUCUGAAUCUGCAAUAACUGCACUGAAAGACCUCAUGGAGAGAAGCAGCAACCAAAUGACAAAUGUGUGUUUUUGUACUUUAUUUUUAUAUUCAAAAACUGUUAAUAACUGCUGCACACACCUUUUACUAGUAUUACACAUUUGAAAAACAGCCAUAUGAAAUUUAUUAUUCACAUUUAUUGUAUAUUAAUAGUUUAUUCAUAAUAUCAAUAUGAAUAUCUUAAGAUAUUUGCCAGUUAUCCAUACCAUAUCACGAGUUAGGCUAUUCUUUGUAUUUUGUUGUAACAAAAGUGUUGUAAACAUUCUGCAUUUUGUAAACCAU